GUUGGAAAUACGGAUGAUAAUCAGGAUUGAUUUUUAGAAGGUGGAUUUGUAAGUAAUUAUUUUUAUAGGAUUAAUAAGUGAAGGGUGGAAUAACAUGUGUACAUAUUGCCCGUCGCUCUCGCUAUUUUUGAGAUAAGUCGUAACAUAGUUGAUGAACUGGAAAGUGUAUCUUUUUGA
rnacentral:rRNA from 1 species